AAAUUUGUUCAGUGCAUCGCUGAGAGCUCGUCAGGCAACACGCGUCGUUUUCUGCGAAGCAUUUCUCCUGUAAGCAGUAACACUCAAGUGAUUCGAUUUUGUAGCGAUUCCUAGAGGAAAUAUGCCCCCAGCAGUGGACCCAGCCUUCGUGGGAGCCGGAUCCAAACCGGGAACUGAAAUAUGGAGGAUUGAGAAUUUUCAUCCCGUUCGGAUUCCGGGCACGGAUCAUGGCAAGUUCCACAUGGGCGACUCCUACAUCAUUUUAAACACGAAACAGCUUCGGAGUGGAGCAUUUGAGUGGAACAUUCACUUCUGGAUUGGCAAAGAUACUUCUCAGGAUGAGAAAGGCACAGCUGCCAUCAAGGCUGUGGAGUUGGACGACAUGCUUGGCGGAGCCCCCGUGCAGCACAGGGAAUGUCAAGAGUACGAGAGUCCUCUCUUCUGCUCCCUCUUCAAGGGUGGGAUUCGAUACGUCCCGGGUGGGGUCAAGUCAGGAUUCAAACACUACGACCCCACUGACGCACCUCCCCGUUUGUUCCAAGUUAAGGGGAAGAGAAACGUGCGCGUCAGAGAGGUGGAAGUCUCUGUCCGUUCCAUGAACAAGGGGGACUGCUUCAUUUUGGACACACCCACUCUGAUCUGGGUUUAUGUUGGACGAUACUCGAAACGAGUGGAGAGGCUCAAAGCAAUCCAAGCAGCAAACCAGAUUCGAGACCAAGAUCAUGGGGGCAGACUCAAGAUUCAGAUGAUCGAGCCCAAUAGUCCGCAGGACCAGGUUGACGCCUUCUUUAAAGCGCUGGGUGGCGGAUCUCGUGCUGAGAUGGCAGACCCUCCAAAGGAGGACGACGACUCCCUGUUUGAGAAGACGACUGAGAGCGUGGUCACUUUGUACCGUGUGAGUGACUCGAGUGGAGCCAUCAAGGUGGAAGUCGUAGGAGUCAAGCCAUUAAAGGGAGCCAUGCUGCAUUCUCAAGAUGGCGUUGGACAGGACUGUUUCAUUCUGGAUGCCGGAAAAUCUGGGAUUUUUGCCUGGAUUGGGAAACAGUGCACCCAGCAAGAGAAACUCCAAGCAAUGACCCAUGCCGAGAAGUUCUUGGUGGAUAAAGGUUAUCCAGCUUGGACUAAAAUCCAACGCGUCGUCGAUGGCGGAGAACCAACUGCUUUCAAGCAAUAUUUCUCUGUUUGGAGAGAGUCCGAUAUUGUGGCGCCAGUUUACGACAAAGUUUAUACUCUGGACCGUCAAAAGUUAGCCAACGAAGCCCCAAAAGCUCGAUCUGCUCCUCCAAUGACUCGUCAAGAACGGGCUAAACUUCUCAAAAACUUGGGCACGGCCCUCGGAUUCUGUCCCGACGAUGGGACCGGACAAGUUGAGCUGUGGCGUGUUGAAAAUUUUGAGCUUGCUCCCGUUCCAAGAGAAACAUACGGGAUAUUCUUCGGCGGCGACUCCUACGUUCUCCAGUACACUUACAAGGAAGGGAACAGGGAGAAAUACAUCAUCUACUAUUGGCAGGGUACACAUUCGACCCAAGACGAAAAGUCUGCCUCCGCUCUUCAUGCAAUCCGUUUGGAUGAGAAGCUGCUUGGACGCGCAGUCCAAGUGCGCGUUACUCAAGGUCACGAACCAGCGCAUUUCCUUCGCAUCUUCAAGGGUCGCAUGAUUGUGUUUCUUGGGGGACAUGCCAGUGGGUUCAAGAACGUCAGGGAGAACGACACCUACGACCCAUCCAAGGCUCGCUUAUUCCACGUCAGGGGAACUUGUGAAGAAGAUACUCGUGCCGUCCAAGUCGAGCUGGCCGCAGCCUCACUGGAUUCGGACGACGUUUUCAUUCUGGAUGGACCCAAGCAAGGGGUCACCUACAUGUGGAUUGGAAAGCACGCCUCUGAAGAUGAGAAGCGGAUGGGGGACAAGGUGGACAAAGUCGUGUCGCCUGACCGGACAGCCCAAAAGGUGAAGGAGGGUUCGGAACCAGACGAGUUUUGGCGUCUCCUGGGAGGCAAAGGGGAUUACACGAGAGACAACGAGGAAGUUGCUGACACUCCGGCCUUGUCAGCACGUCUCUUCCACUGCUCAAUUGUACCACCCUCCACGAAGCUGGAGGUGGACGAGGUGUUCAAUUUUGAGCAGGAGGAUCUGAAUGAGGACGACGUGAUGGUACUAGACACUGGUGACGACGAAAUAUUCAUUUGGAUUGGCAAAGGAGCUUCCCUCGAGGAGAAGAAACACUCCAAUAAAAUGGCUGAUGACUACAUCAAAGAAAACCACAUGAGUCGUGGAGCAAAUUGCGUGACAAUUUCUAUCGUAGUGAAGCAAGGAGAUGAGCCGGACUCCUUCAAGGCCUUCUAUCCAUCGUGGGAUGAUAACUACUGGAAGAAAUAAGCUCGCACGCUUUCUUUCUUUCUCUCUCUCUACCACUCUGUUUACUAGAUAAAUAUCUAGAUAAAUAUCUAGAUAAAUAUCUUAUUUCUGCUUCUUAUUCGUUUGCAUAUGUGUCACCCGAGAACAUUCAAGAUGUCAACUACAAUUAAUUGGAGGAGUUUAUGCAUAGCACCUACGGCACCAGAAGGAUUUUACCACCUCAACAAUGCAAUCUUAUUGUAAACCAUCACCGGAAAUAUUGAUUUACUAAAAACCUCUUUUAAAUCUAAAUUGAACUACAUUCUUGAUGUUGAGCACAUACUACUGUCACAUAAAUAUAUGUAUCUUCUUAUGUUAUUAUUGUCGAAUAAAGCCUUCAUCGUCGGAAUAAUAA